AGGAUUAACGUUGGUAGUAUGCCUAACACAUGCAAGUCGAGCGAGCGGCGAACGGGUGAGUAAUGCUUAUCAACUUACCAAUAGUGGGGGACAACCAUGGGAAACCAUGGCUAAUACCGCAUUUGAUAGGGGUAAGUCGUAUUAGUUAGUUGGUGGGGUAAUGGCCUAACAAGACAAUGAUGCGUAGCCGACCUGAGAGGGUGACCGGCCACAAGGGAACUGAGAUACGGUCCCUACUCCUACGGGAGGCAGCAGUGAGGAAUUUUCCGCAAUGGGGGAAACCCUGACGGAGCAAUACUACGUGAAGGACGAAGGUCGAUAGAUUGUAAACUUCUGUGGACGUGGAUGACGGUACACGUUUAGAAAGCGACGACUAACUAUGUGCCAGCGGUCGCGGUAAGACAUAGGUCGCAAACGUUAUCCGGAAUUAUUGGGCGUAAAGGAUGCGUAGACGGCGGAUUAAGUUAUUGGUGGGAAAACAGGGCUCAACCUUGUGGAAGCUAAUAAGACUGAUUUGCUCGAGUACGGGAGAGGUCAACGGAAUUCCAUGUGGAGCGGUGAAAUGCGUAGAUAUAUGGAAGAACACCAAAGGCGAAGGCAGUUGACUAUUCCGUUACUGACGUUGAGGCAUGAAAGCGUGGGGAUCAAAAAGGAUUAGAUACCCUUGUAGUCCACGCUGUAAACGAUGAGUGCUAGAUAUUGGUGUCGUAGUUAACACGUUAAGCACUCCGCC
rnacentral:rRNA from 1 species